AGAACAUUCUAAGAGGUAGAGUGAGAACAGAGUGAGCUCUCUAAGGGAGCCCCAGGUUCUCUCUCACUGGAGAAAGAAUUGGAAGGGGUGGGAGUUGACCACUUUGUGUGGGAUUUGGAUAUAAAGAGAAGUUCUUCAACCAGGACCAAUGGAAACCCCAAGUGGUCCAGAAUAGAGUCAAACAGGACUAUGAAUCCCUUGAAAUUGUAUGUAUGAAUACAAAUAUCAGCUUUUGAGGGACAGCGUUUGAGUUCUAUAGCUUGUAGUUAUAUAUAUACAGAGAGAGAAAGAGAUGGUCAAAAAUCUCCAAGACUAAAGAUUAAACAAUAAGACAUUGUCAAUUAGACAAUGAAAUGCAGCAAUAACACAAGUUAAAAGUGCUCAGAGGAGAUUCCUAUUUCGGAAAGGAGAUUAGAUUAUUUGAUUUGAUAUCUUUCUUAACCUCUAAUAUUCUGUCUCCAAAUUAAGUUCAAGAGAGACUAAAUAAAUAAACCUUCAGGAAAUGUAAGGUAGAGUUCACGUCUAUGGCAAAUAUGAUUUUAAAUUAGGCCUUGGCCACUCCCUAGACCAUUUACAAUACAUCAAGAGAUUUUCUCCGACAUAGUAGAACAAAAUUAAAAUCUGUUUCUGGCCAUUGUCCAAAGUAUCCCAUCACUCAAGAAUCUGAUUUUGAAAAUGUCAGCCACAGGAACAAUAUUCUAGAAUUGAAAAAAAAAAAAACGAUUUAAAAAGAGUCUGCAUUAUUAUUUUCCCUGUGAAAGAGUAGGGACUUUGAAAUACAGCAAAGUAUUUAGGAAGCACAAGUAUCAAAUGUAAAAGUAUCCGAUUAUGAAAGAACAGGUUCCAGUUCCAAGAAAAUCCAAACCCCCAGGCACACAGAACCUGCUUUCCUUGCUGGAGCGUCCCCUGCAGAGCGCUGGUCCCAGUAGGUCUGGAAAUACACACCCCGGCUUCACACAUCUCCUCUCCCAGAAGCCCUCCUCGCCUGGUCUUCUUUCUUUGACAAGGGACGAGGUCCCUCUGGUAUUUCAGGACUGCGCGUACAUCCAUGGGUCCUACCUACAGAAUCAGGACCUUUGAGCCCAUUUGUACAAUUUACAUGACAAAAACAGAAGUAGAUUUCCAGAGCUUUCAGCUUGUACAUCGUUAAGAUUUAAAAAUAUACCCUGUACAUUUCAAUUCCUCAUCUAAAAAAACUCAAUUUACAUAAAGAAAACCUUUACUUCUAUUCACCCAGGAGGAUGACUCACUUCCCUAAGCUCUUAAGAUUUUUUUUAAGCUUUUGAAUUUCAAUCAUAAUAAGAAUGCUCUACCACAAGCUGUCUUAAGUACCUUACUUUGGGCCCAAAAUAUUUAGGAAUCAUACAGCAAUAAAUAAUAUUAAAAAAUGAAGUUAUGAAUAAUCAGCAAAAUUUAAAUACUGCUUCAUUCAGGCCUUCCUUUAACAAGUCACAUACAUAGACUUUUAAACUAAAUUCUAUGUGAGAUCUGGAAUUUGAGAUUUCAGGAUCAGGAUGUGGAAUCUGAGGUCUCAUGUCAUUGGAAUAAAAUAAGAUACCAAGUGUGGGGACAAGCACUGCCUGCCUGUGACCUUCUGUCGCAGAAUAACCAUGUGUCUACAUGGCCCCCUCCUUCAGGCAGUAUGCUAGGUACAUGGUAUGUUGGUGGUCUGGGACUGGCCAAAUCUAAGCCCGGCUUAUCUAUGGGAACAUCGUACUAGUCGGCAGACCCCUCUGACCAAGGUUUUGUUCCUUGGAGUACUGGUGACACAAGAACAAUCCCUCCUAGCAAAGCAUGUAGCCUCUGUCCCCAGACCCAUAUAAGCAAUUCCCUCCCAGUCAUGACAGUGGUAUGCCACCUCAUCCAGCCAGCAGCUCCUGGACUCCCUGUACGUAAGUUCCAAUAAACCCUUGUGUCUCAUAUGGCGUCUCUGGGUCUUUCCCUCAGGCUUAUAAGUGCUUUCCCACAGCAAUUCAGCACUUCACCCACUUCAGCGUGCUGUCACAUUUGUGUCCACACACUAAGAAAAACAGUUUUUCUAUCAGCUUUUACUUCUAGGUGAGAAUGUUAAAUAUUAAGAAAAAGAGACAAGUUUUGGUAAACACUAGCCAACCUGAGGACACCUACUUAAGACGAAUACACGUUCAAGAAAGAAAAUGGCCAGAAGAAAUCUUUAAGGUUGGCCCCACCUGUUGACAACCCAUUGGAGUCCCAGGGAUUUGUGUAAAGAUUCCAAACUAUCCACUAAUAAAACCCAGACACCAUAUUCUCAACUACCAAUGUUAAAAAUGUUUUCAAAGGAAAAAGAGCUGGCUUAGUUCUGCAUUUGUUUUUGAUUUCAAAGAUGCCCAAAGGAAUUUUACUAAGAUAAUUCACUUCUUUGAAGAAAACAUCCUAGUUUGUAUUAUUACCAUCACCAUUACUACUCUUAACUUAUUGCUUUGCCUGUCUGUUUACUGUCAGUUUAAUGAGAAACUAGAGGUUCUUGACAAAUGAUGGCAUUUCCGGUUUAAAUAUCUCUGGUUUCUUGUAUAAAACUGACUAGAAACUUCUAGAAAUAAGAGGGAAAAAACCCAUCAGUGCACUUCAGCCAGUAAAUGGAAUGUAAAAAAUAAAUUCUUUGGUAAAAGAGCACAUGGAAACUUUUCAAGGAAACAGCAGCUUAAGAGGUUUGGGACCUCACAGUCCACUGAUGGAGCACACCCGAGUUUCUUCACGUGGCCAAGGUCAAAAGGCUGCUGUAUCCAUUUCAGAAGCAUGGAUGGAGAGAAUGAGCAGCUUCAUCAAGCACUGCCUGCAGAAAGACAGGGAGGACACUGACAAAGAGGGUCAAGAUCUGGAGUGCCAUAUGCCAUUGUGGUUUGUCAUUGAUUCUUGGGCCCCAAUAGGCUGAGGUCAUCCAUCUCUCUGGGAAGUGGUGCUACAGGUAAUUUUUCUCUUGAAGAGUAUUCCCCUACCUGAGGCCACAUUAAAUCUAUAGUUCCUUUCUGUAGAGGUAACAGCUUUAUUGUUCUCUGCACUAAUCAGUGUGUGUGUGUGUGUGUGUGUGUGUGUGUGUGUGUGUGUGUGUGUGUGUAUACAUUUACUUUGGAUAUGUUUAGUUUAGAAAUAGUCACACCCUAUUUUCCGCCCCCUACUUUGAACAAAAACAACAUGUUUGAUAAUUAUAUUUAUGAUAGUAACUCAUAAUAAUUUUCUAUAUACUUUAUGAAGGUCUUUUUGAAAUUAACAUAGUUUAUCAUUUUGAACAGAAAUAGGAUUCUGUUCAAAAUGUGGAACUUCUUUCUCGCUUCCAAGGUGAGGACCUAGAAUUUGAGGCCUAAUGGUGCUAGUUAUUUUCUGGCUACUCCUAGAAAAGUUGAUAGAAUCAGA